GCGCCAGACUCCUACGUUAUUCAGCAGUGUUUUAUAUUGCACAAUUUUUUUAACCCUGAUUCAUCGACGCCGCUUUUUUGAAGGAGCUUUUCUGCGCGUAAAUCCCUAUCGGCAUUUAAGAAGGAGGACUUUACCUGACUAAGAAUCCCCGGCUAACUACGUGCCAGCAGCCUCGUGAAUACGUAGUGGUCAAGCGUUAUCCGGAUUUACUGGGUGUAAAGGGGGAGCAGACGGCAGCGCAAGCCAGGAGUGAAAGACCGGGGCCCAAAAAAGGGACUGCUAUUGGAACUGCGCGGCUGGAGUGAAGGAGGGGCCGGAGGAAUUCCUGGUGUAGAGGUGAAAUGAGUAGAUAUCAGGAGGAAAACCGGUGGAGAAGGAGGCCUGCUGGAAUGCGACUGAAGUUGAGGCACGAAAGAGUGGGGAGCAAAAAGGAUUAGAUACCAGCGUAG
rnacentral:rRNA from 1 species